ACUAGGUCAUGAUGGCUCUUCCCUCACAGAUGGGAUUAGUGUCAUUCCGAAAGAAGCCUGAGGGAGCUGCCAACCCCUGAUGUUCUUUUGCCAUGUGAGGACACAUAGAAGGUGCCAUCUAUGGGGUAUAACCCUCACAAGACACCAAAUCUGCUGGCACCUUGAUCUUGAACUUCCCAGCCUUCAGAACUGGACACAGGAGAGAAUAAAGCUGACACCAGGAGACACAGCUGACACUGGGGAGAAGUGGUAAAGACAGCAUCCUGGAAGAGGCGAGACUACUGUCUCUGAAGUUACUACAACUCUUCCAUUAAUUUUGUGAGCUUCCAUCAAUUCCUACAUGAACAUUUAUUAAAAUAUUUCCAAUGCAGACUAUGGAGAGAUAGAGACAGAGAUGAGAAACAGAAAGAGGUGAGUCGUGAGUGCAGUUGUAAAAUAUAAAUACUUUUAAAAAGCAGAAAAGAAAUCAUACAGGCCAGGCAUUGUGGCUCACACCUGUAAUCCCAGCACUUUGGGAGGCCAAGGCAGGUGGAUCAUCUGAGGUCAGGAGUUUGAGACCACCCUGGCCAACAUGAUGAAAUCCCGUCUUUACUAAAAAUACAAAAAUUAGCUGGGCAUGGUGGUGGGAGCCUGUAAUCUCAGCUACUAGG